UACAGAGGUCCCAAGCGUUGUUCGGAUUUACUGGGCGUAAAGGGUGCGUAGGCGGUCGGGUAAGUCUGGUGUGAAAUUUCGAAGCUUAACUUCGAAACUGCAUUGGAUACUAUUCGGCUAGAGGUUGGGAAGGGAGACUGGAAUUCUCGGUGCAGCAGUGAAAUGCGUAGAUAUCGAGAGGAACACCAGUGGCGAAGGCGAGUCUCUGGACCAAUCCUGACGCUGAGGCACGAAAGCCAGGGGAGCAAACGGG
rnacentral:rRNA from 1 species